ACGGGAGGCAGCAGUGGGGAAUGUUGGGCAAUGGGCGAAAGCCUGACCCAGCAACGCCGCGUGAAGGAAGAAGGUCCUCGGAUUGUAAACUUCUUUUAUCAGGGACGAAGGAAGUGACGGUACCUGAUGAAUAAGCCACGGCUAACUACGUGCCAGCAGCCGCGGUAAUACGUAGGUGGCGAGCGUUAUCCGGAUUUACUGGGUGUAAAGGGCGCGUAGGCGGGGAUGCAAGUCAGAUGUGAAAUCCAUGGGCUUAACUCAUGAACUGCAUUUGAAACUGUAUCUCUUGAGUGUCGGAGAGGUAGAUGGAAUUCCUAGUGUAGCGGUGAAAUGCGUAGAUAUUAGGAGGAACACCAGUGGCGAAGGCGAUCUACUGAACGAUAACUGACGCUGAGGCGCGAAAGCGUGGGGAGCAAACAGGAUUAGAUACCCUGGUA
rnacentral:rRNA from 1 species